rnacentral:rRNA from 1 species
UUAUGGCUCAGGAUGAACGCUGGCGGCGUGCCUAACACAUGCAAGUCGAACGGAGAUUUAACGCUGAUGAGGCUUCGGCGGAAUCUUGUUAAAUCUUAGUGGCGGACGGGUGAGUAACGCGUGGGCAACCUGCCUCGUACUGGGGGAUAACAGUUGGAAACGACUGUUAAUACCGCAUAAGCGCACAGUACCGCAUGGUAUAGUGUGAAAAACUCCGGUGGUACGAGAUGGGCCCGCGUCAGAUUAGCCAGUUGGUGGGGUAACGGCCUACCAAAGCAACGAUCUGUAGCCGGACUGAGAGGUCGGACGGCCACAUUGGGACUGAGACACGGCCCAAACUCCUACGGGAGGCAGCAGUGGGGGAUAUUGCACAAUGGGCGAAAGCCUGAUGCAGCGACGCCGCGUGAGUGAAGAAGUAUUUCGGUAUGUAAAGCUCUAUCAGCAGGGAAGAAAGACUCGUAAGAGAGAUGACGGUACCUGACUAAGAAGCCCCGGCUAACUACGUGCCAGCCGCCGC